rnacentral:lncRNA from 1 species
GGUUAAAGUACAAUAGGACAAGAGGACUUGACAAUGGUCUGUAGUAUUUGCCCAUGGAUACUUUUGUUCUGAGGGUCAAAUUCAAGGAAGAGAGCAGCAUUAUUGCUCCAGCUCCCAAGGCAUCUACAUUCUGUCUGUGGGGAGCCAUUUUAAUUGAAACUAAUACUACUAGGGCAGAAAAAAUGAAACAAUGAACAACAUCUUCCCUAUUUUAUUUAACACAAAUGCAUUCUCUUUAGAACACUGGCUCCAACUCUCCUAAUGCUACAUCACUUUCAUAUCAUUUAAAGUACUCUUAUGCAAGCAGACUCUCGUGAAGACAAAAGAAGGGUGUCUCACUCCUGAGACCACUGAAAAGACAUUUUCUUAUGGUUUUUAGCAACCCCUCUGAGAAGUUCAUUCCACCCUCAAAGGUGUUGCUACCCAAGCUUUAAAACAUUGCUCUACUAUUCAUUUUAUGUUGCAAGUUUGCAGAAAAUAUUAAUGUGUUCAGCACACUUUUGCCAGAGAUAUUUUCUGGGAGAUGCCACAUAUAUAUUCAUCUACCCAUCCCAAGUGGAAAAUGGCAACAACCAAGUUCAACUCGUUAAACCAAUGAGAGUUAUUGUUGUUACACACAGGACUUAGGGGAAGCAGUUAGUAAAUGAGAGCACGAGGGACUCAAAGACAAUUGCUAUCCUGAAACUGAAAAGCAGCAUAAGAUACAGAUAAUGAAUACUGGACACUGGUAACAAACCUCAUACAUGUAGGCAUCUCUACAGGAUAAAGAGCACCCUAUCUUUGUGGCUCAGUUUGUCAAAUCCUCUUUUAAGAAGUAUAAUUUGAGUAUGUUCAUUUGAGUUAAACAUAUAGAAUGCUGUCAGUUUCAUUAGCUAUUUUGAGGCAUGUAUUUCGUAGCUUCUCUUUGAAGUAGAUCAAUUCAGUCUCCAGGAAAGUUUAUAAAACUCCAUAUGCUUUAAGCUUCUCCAUCAUGACAUAUUUAAAAGUGAACAAGUAAAAACUUUUAAUGAAAGAUUUCCUUCAUUGCUGUAUUUUCCAUUUCUCUGAGCAUAAAUGCUGGGUCGCUCCUAAGAUUUGAGGAUUACUUAAAUGUUUUCCCAACUUCCUCACAUAUAUAAUAAUUCUCUAGUGUGGAGCUUCAAGUGUUGCCAACAAUACCGCUGGAAUAAAGCACAUGCCAUAGUUUUUCCAGUGGACGCUUUUUUUCUGAAUAUAAAUAAGCAGGUAUUUUCUUAGGUCUGAGAUUUGGGUAAAGACCUUUCCUCAUAUAUCAAAUUCGUAAGUUUUUUUUUUUUAAUCCUGAAUGCAUUCUUUGAUGUAUUUUAAGUGGUGAACCAACACUGAAGGAUAUGAACAUUUACUAUAUAUAUAAGUUCCUUCUCCUAUAUGUAGUCUCUGAUGAAUUCUAAGAUGGUUUUCUUUGGGAAUGGAUUUUUUUCAUUCACUUCAUUUGUGAAGGUGUCUACUGUAUGCAUUCUCUGAUAAGUGACUGUUUUUGGCUAAAGCAUUUGUCAUAUUCAUUAUAUUUUUAAGAUUUUUUUCUGCAUGAAUUCUCUGAUGAAUUUUAAGACUGCUUUUGCAGGUAAAGCAUUUGUCACAUUCACUAUAUUUGUAAGGCUUCUCUCCUGUAUGAAUUCUCUAAUGAAGAUGACAAUUGAAUUUUUAGGUAAAGCACAUGUUACAUUCAUAUCUGUAAGGUUCUUUCUCCUGUAUGAAUUCUCUGAUGUUUUCUAAGAUCACCUUUAUGGGAAAAGCAUUUGUCACAUUCACUACAUUUGUAAGGUUUCUCUCCUGUAUGAACUCUCUGGUGCACAUUAAGACUGCUUUUUCGGGUAAAGUACUUGUCACAUUCACUACAUUUGUAAGGUUUCUCUCCUGUAUGAACUCUCUGGUGCACAUUAAGACUGCUUUUUCGGGUAAAGUACUUGUCACAUUCACUACAUUUGUAAGGUUUCUCUCCUGUAUGAAUUCUCUGAUGAAUAAUAAGUCUGUAUUUUUCAGUAAAGCAUUUGUCACAUUCACUACAUUUGUAAGGUUUAUUAGCUGAAUGUAUUCUCUGAUGAGUUCUAAGAUGAUAUUUGUUGGUAAAGCAUUUGUUACAUUCACUGCAUUUGUAAGGUUUUUCUCCUAUGUGAAUGCGCUGAUGAACAAUAAGAUGGCUUUUUCGAGUGUAGUAUUUGUCACAUUCACUACAUUUGUAGGGUUUUUCUCCAGCAUGAAUUUUCUGAUGAACAAUAAGAUGGCUUUUUCGAGUGUAGUAUUUGUCACAUUCACUACAUUUGUAAGGUUUCUCUCCUGUAUGAAUUCGUUGAUGAUCUCUAAGAUUGCCUUUCAGGGUAAAAGAUUUGUCACAUUCACUGCAUUUGUAAGGUUUCUCUCCUGUAUGAAUUGUCUGAUGACUUGUAAGACGCCAUUUCUUUGUAAAGCAUUUGUCACACUCACUACAUUUGUAAAGAUUUUCUCCUGUAUGAAUUCUCAGAUGAACUUUAAGACUGCCUUUGUGGGAAAAGCAUUUGUCACAUUCACUACAUUUGUAAGUUUUCUCUCCUGUAUGAAUUAUUUGAUGAAUGAUAAGACUGCAUUUUAGAGUAAAGCCUUUGUCACAUUCACUACAUCUGUAAGGUUUCUCUCCUGCAUGAAUUCUCUGAUGAAUACUAAGACUGCCUUUUUGGGUAAAGCUUUUGUCACAUUCACUACAUUUGUAAGGUUUCUCUCCUGUAUGAAUUCUCUGAUGUUUUCUAAGGUCACCAACUUGAAUGAAGCAUUUCUCACAUUCACUACAUUUGUAAGGUUUCUUGCCUGUAUGAUACACUUGAUGAAUGAUAAGACUGCAUUUUAGAGUAAAGCCUUUGUCACAUUCACUACAUUUGUACGGCUUCUCUCCUGUAUGAAUUCUCUGAUGAGUUCUAAGGUUGGUUUUGGAGCUAAAGCAUUUUUCACAUUCAUUACAUUUGUAAGGUUUCUCUCCUGUAUGAAUUCUCUCAUGUCUUCUAAGAUCACCAACUUGAAUGAAGCAUUUCUCACAUUCACUACAUUUGUAAGGUUUCUUGCCUGUAUGAUACAUCUGAUGAAUACUAAGACUGCCUUUGUGGGAAAAGCAUUUGUCACAUUCACUACAUUUGUAAGGAUUCUCUCCUGUAUGAAUUCUCUGAUGAGUUCUAAGGCUGCUUUUGUAGCUAAAGCAUUUUUCACAUUCAUUACAUUUGUAAGGUUUCUCUCCUUUAUGAAUUCUCUGAUGUUUUCUAAGAUCACCAACUUGAAUGAAGCAUUUCUCACAUUCACUACAUUUGUAAGGUUUCUUUACACUUUUGGUUUGUUUCAAUAUGAGGGUUUCUUUAGAGUCAAAAACCUUAUCAAGCUUUGCACCAUUGUAUUCUUUCUUUCCUAUGUUGAUUCCUUGAUUUAGACUAAUGGUAGAGCACAAAUUGAAACAGUUUACAUGGUUUUUAUCUUUGCAAGGUUCUCUGUUGUUUUCAGUUUCAUGUCUGCUUAGGUUUGAUGAUUCAACAGAUGUAGCCCUGAGGUUAGUUUUAGAAGGUGCACUUCCUGUGGACUCAUGGAUGAUUUUGUCAAGCUCAUGACAUUCAUAAGAUUUCACUUGGGUAUUUGCAUGUUCGUGGACAAUAUGCUGUAGAUCUUGAUUCAACAUGUUCUCAAAUUCAGGACACAUGUAUUGAUUCUCUG